AUCGAAGGUCUGGUUCCGUAUACCAUCAAUGGCGAUGAUUCUGAAAUUGCGUCGUUGACUCUUUCUCAGUAAUCUCAAAGUCGGUGGUGUCUGUGUUCAUGUCGUUUCGGUCUCUAUUCUUAACCUCGGAACCGGUACCAAUCGAAUUGAUUGAACGCCAUUAACAAAAGCGUAACUCUUCAUGCCCACUACAACCACGAUCUUGCAUUCAAUGAUUCUUAUCCUUCAUCUAGGCGGUGAUUAUCUCCUAUAAAAGGGUUUUCCGGGCUUCUCCUCAAGCAAUCAAAGCAUUGUAUCAAACUGAUCUUGAAACAGAAACUAUUAGACAUAGUAGAAAGCAAGCGCUGAUGUCUCGACAUGGCACUAUAUUUUUUUGUAACCUUCAUUUAUGUCAGUUUUAGUUUGUGAGGCAGUAAUCAGAAGAGGGAUCGUGAACAAGGUGUUGAAAACGAGUGUGGCUGCUUUGGUGGAGCUCAAUAUGCUCAAGAAUCUCACAGGCACUUUGCUGUUGCAGGCUCUUUAGGUGGAUUCAACGCUCACACCAGAAACAUAGUUCUUGAUGUAUUCAUAGCUAUUUCCCAAGAUCCAGCUCAAAAUAUGGAGAGCUCUCAAUGCAUCACUGAUGGAAACCGUUAACGGGAAAUAUAUCCGUAUCUCUAUCACUACACCAACUACUCAGGCUGGGACAGUGGGAGGAGGAACGCAGCUUCCGUCUCAGUCGGUGUAGUCAAACCUGCUAGCAUUAAAGGAGCUACAACAAUUUGAUAUUAAUCUUGCCUUUUCAGAAAGAUAGCGUUUCAACAAUGUGGGAAACACAGAGCGUCAAAGUCUGUACCAUUGCCUUUUCAAGUUGGAGGAAGCAAGAGCAUGUAAAUUUAUACAUUCCAAAACCAAAAAAAGCAGCUUAAUUUGGAUUAUAUAUGUAUAUCCUAUGAAAUUCUAUUCAUCGUAGCACACAUAUUUAUUCUUGA